rnacentral:lncRNA from 1 species
CCACUGGUCCAGUGGCCCCGCCGUAUAAAUACGCUGGUGUGUUUAGUCUCCUCGACGCGACGCCGCCUCCGCCCUCUCUCAAACCCUAGCAUCCGCCUCCGCCUCCGCCUCCCCCUCCCCGUCGCGAGCGCCUCCGCCGCCGCCACCGCCGCCGCCGCGUCCCCCGUCCCCGUCCCCAUCCCCAUCCUCCGUCCAGGUCGCGCCACCCCGUCCGCCGGCGCGUCGUACGCCUCCACCAGCUGCCGGUCCUCCGCCUCCCGGUCAAGAUCCGGCACCGCGCCGCCUUCCUCCGUCGCCUCCGCCUCCCGUCUGAGAUCCGCAGCCCCUUCUCUGCACGUCGGUUUCUGCGCUGCCGCCAAGAAGGAUAUCCUGUCAUCCGUCACCAUGAAUAGCAUCAGAACCGUCGCUAGCCUCGAUGAGGUCAACGGUGUCCUGCAAGAGAUGGGCAUCAAUGCGAUUGGUCAAGCACAUCAAGUUCAAUUUUGCUUGCAUGAGCAGACAUCCCUUAAAGAAGCAACAGAAAUAAAGGUGAUUACUCGACCUGGAAGGCAUGGCUUUAAAUUGGUUAACCCUGAGUUGUUGAAUUGUAAGUUUAAAGCCAAGGUCAAGCUAGAUGUGUGCUACAAGACCAUGUUCAACGCAUGCAUGGUGCAAUGUGAUCAGGAGCUAUUACCACUGGAAGCCCGCAUUGCGCAGCUGAAGAACCUCAUUCUUUCCACAGACGACCAGAUCCCACAUAGGGGACCCGAAGUUGAUCAAAGGAAUCGUGGAGUGCAACUCAUGCUCUACCCGGAACCCCCCAACGAUCCUGAUUAUGAGUUCGGUAGUGCAAACCAACGAGUCCCAUAUCAAGCAGCAUACGCAAAUGAUGCACAGAGAAAUGCCGCAGUUGCUCGUGACAAGCGUGCUCAGAGGGCAGUUUGGAAUACUAAUCUCCGUCUUUUGGAGGUGAAGAAAUCCGUCCUGGAGAAGAAGAAGAUUGAAUUGGAGAGAGUUCUGAGGGAAGAGUUCGACAAAAUGAUUGAGGAGCAAUCUGACCUGGGGGUCGGAUAUGCGAACUACCAGUUUCCUCAUCUGGCAUAGGUUUUCAAAGAGCAUGAAACGGAGAAUCUUUUGGAAGUGCUGAAUGCUCGUUAAUGGUAGGCUCAGGCUGAAUGUAUCAGCAUAUUGUAGUAGCUUAUCAUGUCACUGUUUUGUCUCACUGUUUGUAAUCUAAGUGAGUAGUCAUAUCUGUUGCUGUUUUAAAUCUCAGAUCUCAGUAGAUGGUGCCAUCUGUGUUUGGUGCUGAAGAGGAAAAGGAUAUUAUAACAAGUAUCUUGCUUUCUGUUU